rnacentral:rRNA from 1 species
GGGGGAUAUUGCACAAUGGACGGAAGUCUGAUGCAGCGACGCCGCGUGGGGGAUGAAGGCUUUCGGGUUGUAAACCUCUUUUAUUCCUGGACAAGGCUUGGAUUGUUGUCUGGGUUGCGGGUAGGGGGUGAAUAAGCGCCGGCUAACUACGUGCCAGCAGCCGCGGUAAUACGUAGGGCGCGAGCGUUGUCCGGAUUUAUUGGGCGUAAAGAGCUCGUAGGCGGUUUGUUGCGUCUGCUGUGAAAACGCGGGGCUUAACUUCGCGCGUGCAGUGGGUACGGGCAGGCUAGAGUGCGGUAGGGGAGAUUGGAAUUCCUGGUGUAGCGGUGGAAUGCGCAGAUAUCAGGAGGAACACCGAUGGCGAAGGCAGGUCUCUGGGCCGUUACUGACGCUGAGGAGCGAAAGCGUGGGGAGCGAACA